rnacentral:rRNA from 1 species
UACGGAAGGUCCGGGCGUUAUCCGGAUUUAUUGGGUUUAAAGGGUGCGCAGGCGGGAGAUUAAGUCGGCGGUGAAAUUUUGCAGCUCAACUGUAAAAGUGCCUUCGAUACUGGUUUCCUUGAGUGUGGAUGAAGUAGGCGGAAUUUGUGGUGUAGCGGUGAAAUGCUUAGAUAUCACGAGGAACUCCGAUUGCGCAGGCAGCUUACUAAACCACUACUGACGCUCAGGCACGAAGGCGUGGGGAUCAAACAGGAUUAGAUACCCCGGUAGUCCCUGAG